rnacentral:lncRNA from 1 species
CAGUAUUGAUACCAAAGUGCAGCCUUUGUCUGUGCAGUUGCUGUAUGACUGCUGGACUUUGUUUUUCCUGUAGCAGAGCGAUAGCAGGGAAGGCCAGCAAGGAGCAGCAGCAGCUGCAAGGGGUGCAAAGUUCUGGAGUGUGACAGAGCCUUGGCAGCAGCGGCUGGUGCUUGUUUUCCCUCACUUUUGGUGGAAAAGUGUGUCAAUGGAUGUCAAGUUCUGCCAAUCUGGUGCACCAAAGCAGAAGGACCAGAGAUACAUCUGACAUGUUUAAUCACCAGCUACAGCCAGACUAACACAAUUCCCAGGGAAGUGGAAAAAGCCAAACUGAGCAAUAAGAAAAGGAGAAGGUACCCCUAGCUCUUGCGGUCAUCUGUAGAACAGGAAAUGUCACUCUGGUGUUAUG